GACGAACGCUGGCGGCGUGCUUAACACAUGCAAGUCGAACGAUGAUGCCCAGCUUGCUGGGUGGAUUAGUGGCGAACGGGUGAGUAACACGUGAGUAACCUGCCCCUGACUCUGGGAUAAGCGUUGGAAACGACGUCUAAUACUGGAUAUGACUACCGGCCGCAUGGUCUGGUGGUGGAAAGAUUUUUUGGUUGGGGAUGGACUCGCGGCCUAUCAGCUUGUUGGUGAGGUAAUGGCUCACCAAGGCGACGACGGGUAGCCGGCCUGAGAGGGUGACCGGCCACACUGGGACUGAGACACGGCCCAGACUCCUACGGGAGGCAGCAGUGGGGAAUAUUGCACAAUGGGCGAAAGCCUGAUGCAGCAACGCCGCGUGAGGGAUGACGGCCUUCGGGUUGUAAACCUCUUUUAGUAGGGAAGAAGCGAAAGUGACGGUACCUGCAGAAAAAGCACCGGCUAACUACGUGCCAGCAGCCGCCGCAG
rnacentral:rRNA from 1 species